AGGGUUUAAAGUAGAGCACUGUUAAUUGAUUAGUCAUUUGUUUACAAAAUGUCAGAAAAUCUGUUUUUGGAAUCUCCUUUAAAGAUGACUCAAAAAAUUAAUUAAUUAUCAAAAUAGUUGCUUAUUGAUUUCCGGCUGAUUGACUGAUUAGCUGUAGUUCAAAAUUUACAGAGUAAAUGCCUGCCUCUGACUCCCAACAGCAUACAGCCUACCUUCAGCUCUGUUUUUCUAAAAUAAAGACCUGUCAGAAAGCUUAAGACAAAACAAUUAAACCAGCAUAGAACAUUUGAGCAGUAAACAAAGGAGUGCAUGGGACAGAUGAAUACGGCCAAAACAAGUAUGAGUAACCAAAUCCAGAAUCCCAAGUGCAGCUACUCUUUUUAAAAAGCAGCUGAUCUACAUAGGCUAGAUUGCCUGCUAUUCCCAUAUCUGCAUAUUGGCAGUGUUAGCGGUUUGUAUUAAUUUUGUGAAUUCUAGCUGACAGCUUUGUAAACUAAUGGCUUUGACCUAAGGUGAAUCUACAUCCUGCUGCAGUCUGACUUCUACUAAAUGCCAGGUUUAUUUCAGGCGUCUACAAUAUUUCACAAAACACACAAAAUCCCUUUCAUAUUACGGAAGGAGUGGGCCAACACUUGUUCGUUAUUGGACAGAAUAGUUUGUUUACAUAUGACGUCAGCGGAAGGCAGGCGUUAGUGAUUGUUUACAUUGGAGAGGUGCCACAGGCUGUCAAAGUGCCCACGGUUUGCGUCCUUUACGGUUACCCACAUCGAUUAGACCUAGAAAUCACGAGAAGAUUUCAUCGAAUACCCAAAGUUGUUGUUAAUGAGGAAAAUGCAGGAAAGUGACAGAAGUGUCCCUGUAACUGAACAACCACGACAACGAUGACUGGCGCUGUUUAACAGAGAUGCAACUUUGUUCACUUGUAGUCAUGUUUUCUCCUUAACUGUUGAUUUGUUUACAGUUUGUGUUGUGUCUCCCUCUUUUGUAUGAGGGAAGUGCAACUCAGGUAGGGGACAGAACCUAGAGCCAGAGGACAACACUGAUAUUUUACACGAUCGACAAGGUGUCACCACUUUGUCCACGACAUCGUCCAUGAUUACCGAGACGUCAUCCACGAUUGCAGAGAGUCCUCGUACAAUGAAGUUGUUCUUUCAGACCAAGACAGAGGCCUCCAGGUAAUUCACAGCUAGGUGUCACCACUUCGUCCACAAGAUCAUCCACGAUCACAGAGACAUGGUCCAUGAUCGGAGAGACAUUGUUGAGGAUGAGGGAGACAUCGUCCACGAUCAGAGGCAUUGUCCAUGAUCGCAGAGACCUUGUCAAAGAUGAGAGAGACGUUGUCCAUGAUCAGAGACAUUGUCCCAUGCUUCGUAGAGACCUUGCGAUAGAAUCGGCGGAGACGGGGGUCACCGAUUUGACGGCACUGCCCGCGAUCAUGGAAACAUUGUCAAUGAUUACAGAGACAGCGUCUAUGAUCUCAGAGACAUCGUCCACGAUCACAAAGACAUUGUCCAUGAUCGCAGAGACUUUGUCCAUAAUCUCAGAGACAUUGUCCGUGAUUGCAGAGACCUAGUCCGCGAUCACAGAGAUGUAGUCCAUGAUCACAGAGAGUCUUUGACAAUGAAGUUGUUCUUUCAGACCAAGACAGAGGCCUCCAGGUGUCACCACUUCGUCCACAAGAUCAUCCACGAUCACAGAGACAUGGUCCAUGAUCGGAGAGACAUUGUUGAGGAUGAGGGAGACAUCGUCCACGAUCAGAGGCAUUGUCCAUGAUCGCAGAGACCUUGUCAA